UUGUCUACUAAUUAUAGACCUGUAUGAAAGGCAAAAUGAGGGUCUAACUGUCUCUUAUAAUAAAUCAAUUAAACUGAUCUACUAGUAAAAAAGCUAGAAUAACAACAUAAGACCAGAAGACCCUGUGAAGCUUAAAUUAAACUAUUAAAUCACAUAAUAACUACUUUCGGUUGGGGCGACCUUGGAAAAAAAAAGAACUUCCAAGACCCAGCAUAGCUGAUAAUUGAACCAAGUUACUCCAGGGAUAACAGCGCAAUCUUCUUCAAGAGUCCAUAUCAAAAGGAAGGUUUACGACCUCGAUGUUGGAUCAGGACAUCCUAAUGGUGCAGCCGCUAUNAAGGGUUCGUUUGUUCAACGAUUAAUAGUCCUACGUGAUCUGA
rnacentral:rRNA from 1 species